AAAAAAAAAAAACAAAUCUUAAAAUUAAAAAUGAGAAAAAGUGUAGAUAUCUUUAGUUUCAUCACAUGUAUCAUGAUUUUCUUGUUGUUAACAGGUUAUAAACAUUAUGAUACAUUUCAAGUUUUGUUUUGUUUUUUUUUUGUGUUUCAAUUACCGGCUAUUGUUUAUUAUUCUUUCUUUUCUAAACCACAUAGGAAAAAAACCUUUCUAGUUUUGGAACUUAUAUUUGCAAGUGUUUAUCAUAAAAAAAUAUUAGUAAAAUUAUCAUGUAAAUAUAAGGUUUAGAACCUCUUACAAUCUUAUAAAUAUUUGGAUUUAGUCACCCAGUAGUAAAGAUGAUCUUGAUGUACGGUAUCAACCAUAUAAAAUUACGGGGUACACCAAAAGGGGUAUUUCUCAAAAAAAUUCAAUUAUCAUGAUCCCAUUACAUUUAAUUAAAUACCAUUAUUCUCAUUAGAUUAAGGAUGAACCACAAUUAUGAAGCAAGAAAAUUAUGACAUGUUAGAUCUAAUUGACCAAAACACAAUUGGUUUAGUUCCUUUCAUAUAAUAUACAGUAGUGUACUUUAUUUUUUACCUUAGUAAAAACAAAGAUAUCAUUUACUAAUUAUUAUGGGAUUUUGAAUGUUUCUUACAUAUUGACAUGUUUAUAAUUUUAUCAGGAGUAUCAAAAGGAAAGGCUCCGGUGAAGCCAAAGCAUGUACCUGCACCGAGCCAAUGUCGCAGUUCUACUAAGCAACGAGCAGCUUUCGCAUCUGGACUUUGUAAUAAACCUAAAAAUGGUUUAAUAGAAUGCAAGAAAUCUUGCAAGGCUCAUCAUUAUACUGACGGUGUCUGUGAAUUGUAUAAUGACAUCUAUGGGGUUUAUAUUGGUUGUUCUUGUAUACAAUGCGGAUGAGGGGAUCAUACCAU
rnacentral:lncRNA from 1 species